GUUGUGUUACUACGAUACUUUUGUGCAUUGUGAUGCGAAUGCAAUCGGAAAAGUUCUGAGGAAGUGAAGGAAGAAAAAUGAGAGCAAGAGGAGUCGAGCAACUUUGUGAAUCAUCGUACUAGCUGAUAACUCCACUGUUGCACAGCGAUUGCUACAAAGGCAGUAGUAGUGAUGGUUCGGAAAAAUUAGAGAGAGGGAUGAGGGAGAUGGGUAGAUGAGUGAAAAGGAGAAAAGCGGAGAAAAAUAUAAGAGAACGUCAGUAACGACUAACGCAAGCUUCGCGAAGAAGGGAAGGACGGCAUCUUUAGUAAUUACCCGCCUCCGGAGGACGCAUUACUCUUUGUUGGCCGACGUACCUCGGAUCUUAUCGUCGUUGAGAGAGAAAGGAUGAGGAGUAGUGAAGUAAAAGGUAGAACUGCAGUACUGGGAAUCACUUCUGUGGAAUAAGACGAGGAAUGGGAAGUCGGUUGCAAUCCUUACUCUACGAAAUUGCGUUGGGCGACAUUUUCAUCUUUGCUUUUGUCUAGUCUAUGGACACGCAUUUUACUUUAUAAUAGCAUAAUAAUUUUUAUAUCAUCAA